AAUUUACACAUGUACGCAAGUAAGAACAUGUGAGGGCUUCUUACCACUGGAAUGUAAACUGAAUUCGCGACCAUAUAACCCGUCUUUAAACGCUCUGCUGAGAGAAAGAGAAAGCAUGUAAUCUGCCGUGUGUGAGGGUGGCGGCAAACUGGACGGCGCUCCCGCCACGUAACACUGCGCAGUCCAGACAACGACGAGGGUUCGACACGACAUUUAUUCAGGCCAUUUUACUCCCGGCUCGUCAGGAUUCAGCGUCAGCAGCGCUGUCAUUAUUACCACUUUUACCAGACAUUCGACGUACAGCGAGCGAGCCGGGUUUAAAUGUCAUUUUAAUUUAAAUUAAUCCAAAAAAGCCACACAGAGCCGAGAGCAGCAGCAGCAGCAACAGCAGCAGAGCCGCACUGGACACGAGUCAACAGACCUUGCGCAGAGAGAACGGCACGGCGCUGCUGCUCAGCGGAACAUCAUUCGCUGCGCUGCGCUGCACCCCAACGUGUCUUCAUGCUUCCUGGGACCUCGCUUCACAGAGAAUACAGCGUCACCGUCCGCUAACCGCCCGCCACAGCCUCUGUACACAGGCAGCAGACACCCACGAUCUCUGCAUACGUCCAAAAGCAGCUCAGCCUUGUGGACAUCCGUGCGCCCACUGCUGGCGGGGAGGUGGAACAGUAUUACAGUAUAAUCCAGUAAAUAUCUUCUCUACUCUUGUUGUUUAGUUUGUGGCUGAAGACUUCAGUUUAAUACUUCUGUAUAAAACUUGUGUGUGUAAAUGCAUAUUCUUCGUAUGACUGAAUGUACUGACCCUAUGUUAUGAUGGUUCCUUAGCCAUAUUGUGAUAACAUCUGUACAUUAUUAAUUAUUACAUAAAUAUACAACAUAAGCUACUUUCUUUAUGCAUAUAUACGUUAUAAACACGUUAGAAAAAGAAUAUCAGUAAAAUAACAUUAAUCAUUUGUAUUUUUUGUGUUUACAGUAAUUUUAUGUUAAAUCAAAUUUUGCCAUUAAAGUAAAAAGUACAUAAUCC
rnacentral:lncRNA from 1 species